rnacentral:lncRNA from 14 species
AUGUCUGGAAUUCCAUGGAAGGUUCUGGAAUCCUCUGGAAGGUUUCCAAUCCCACCUGGAAUGUUCUGGGUCCUUCACGGAAGGUUCUGGAAUCCCACGGAAAGUUCUGGAUCCGCAGGAGGAACCUGGAACCUUCUGGAAUGUUCUGGACCCUCCUGGAAUUCCAUGGAAUGUUCUGGAUCUCUCAGGAAAGUUCUUGGUCCCUCAUGGAAAGUUCUGGAACCUUCUGGAUCUCCCUGGAAUCUUCCGGAUCCCUCAGGAGUGGCCUUGGUCCUGUUUGGAAGGUUCUGGAAGCUCCUGGAAUGUUCUGGGUCCCUCAAGAACGGCCUUGGGUCCCUCUGGAACUUUCUGGGUUCUUCUGGAAGGUUCUGGAGCCACGGGAGGGGUUCUGGGCCCAUAUGGAAGGUUCUGGGUUCUGGGUCCCUCAGGAAUGGCCUUGGUUUCUCCUGGAAGGUUCUGGGUCCUUCUGGAAUCUUCUGGAGCCACAGGAAGAGUCUUGGUCCUCUUUGGAAGGUUCUGGAAGCUCCUGGAAUGUUCUGGACCCACAGGAGCCGUCUUGGUCUCCUAUGGAAGGUUCUGGAUCCUUGUAGAAGGUUCUGGAAUUCCAUGGGAGCUUCUGGGUCCCUCAGGAAUGGCCUUGGGUCCUUCUGGAAUCUUCUGGAGCCACAGGAAGGGUCCUGGUUCUCUUUGGAAGCUUCUGGAAUUCCAUGGAAGGUUCUAGGGCCCAUCACGAAGGUCUUGGUCCCACAUGGAAGCUUCUGGAAUUCCACGGAAGGUUCUGGGUCCCUCAGGAAGGUUCUGGGUCCCUCAGGAGCUCGUGAUCCCCAUCAGGAAGGCCUUGGGUCCUUCUGGAAGGUUCUGGAUCUCAAUGGAACCUUCUGGAUCUUCAGGAGAGGUCUCAGAUCCCAUCUCUCCAUCCCAGGAGGAGAAUUCUGGGUCCCAGUCGCUCCCAGUCCAUCCCAGUUUGUCCCAGUCCAUCCCAGUCUGUCCCAGUUCAGGGUUCCUGGUGCCCAGAAGCUCCGGAGAAGAUCCUGGAGAAGCCCCAGAGCUGCUGAUCCCGGGGGAUCCAGGGGGAUUUCUCCAUCCCAGUCCCUCCCAGUUCCAUCCCAGUCCAUCCCAGUCUGUCCCAGUUCAGGGUUCCUGGUGGCCAGAAGCUCCGGAGAAGAUCCGCGCCAUGCGCCGGAGCUGCUGAUCCCGGGGGAUUUCUCCAUCCCAGUCGCUCCCAGUUCCAUCCCAGUCCAUCCCAGUUGCUCCCAGUCCAUCCCAGUUUGUCCCAGUCUGUCCCAGUUCAGGGUUCCUGGUGGCCAGAAGCUCCGGAGAAGAUCCUCGCCAUGCGCCGGAGCUGCUGAUCCCGGGGGAUUUCUCCAUCCCAGUCCAUCCCAGUUUGUCCCAGUCACUCCCAGUCACUCCCAGUCUGUCCCAGUCUGUCCCAGUUCAGGGUUCCUGGUGCCCAGAAGCUCCGGAGAAGAUCCGGCCAUGCGCCGGAGCUGCUGAUCCCAGGGGAUUUCUCCAUCCCAGUCCAUCCCAGUCCAUCCCAGUCCAUCCCAGUUUGUCCCAGUCACUCCCAGUCACUCCCAGUCCAUCCCAGUCUGUCCCAGUUCAGGGUUCCUGGUGGCCAGAAGCUCCGGAGAAGAUCCAGCGCUGAUCCCAGGGAGCUGCGUCAUCCCAGUCCAUCCCAGUCCAUCCCAGUUUGUCCCAUCCCAGUCACUCCCAGUCCAUCCCAGUCUGUCCCAGUUCAGGGUUCCUGGUGGCCAGAAGCUCCGGAGAAGAUCCGCGCCAUGCGCCGGAGCUGCCGCGCGGCCGAGUUGGACUCCUGCUGCAGGCGCCGGUUGUUCUGCCGCAGGUUGGCCACCUCGGCCUGCAGGAACACCUUGUCCUGCUUCUCCUGCGGGGAAAAAACCCAAAUUUGGGGCAAAAAAUCAAAAUUUGGGGAAAAUUCCAAAUUUUUGAGGGAAAAAAUUGGGAGUUUUGGGCA